rnacentral:misc_RNA from 1 species
AAAUGCGAUAAGUAAUGUAAAUUGCAGAAUUCAGUGAAUCAUCGAAUCUUUGAACGCACAUUGCGCCCGCCAGUAUUCUGGCGGGCAUGCCUGUUCGAGCGUCAUUACAACCCUCAGGCCCCCGGGCCUGGCGUUGGGGAUCGGCGGAAGCCCCCUGCGGGCACAACGCCGUCCCCCAAAUACAGUGGCGGUCCCGCCGCAGCUUCCAUUGCGUAGUAGCUAACACCUCGCAACUGGAGAGCGGCGCGGCCACGCCGUAAAACACCCAACUUCUGAAUGUUGACCUCGAAUCAGGUAGGAAUACCCGCUGAACUUAAGC